rnacentral:rRNA from 1 species
GGGGAAUUUUCCGCAAUGGGCGAAAGCCUGACGGAGCAAUACCGCGUGAGGGAGGAAGGCUCUUGGGUUGUAAACCUCUUUUCUCAGGGAAGAAUAGAUGACGGUACCUGAGGAAUAAGCAUCGGCUAACUCCGUGCCAGCAGCCGCGGUAAUACGGAGGAUGCAAGCGUUAUCCGGAAUGAUUGGGCGUAAAGAGUCCGUAGGUGGCACUUCAAGUCUGCUGUUAAAGCACAGAGCUCAACUCUGAAAAGGCGGUGGAAACUGAAGAGCUAGAGGCUGGUAGGGGUAGAGGGAAUUCCCAGUGUAGCGGUGAAAUGCGUAGAGAUUGGGAAGAACACCGGUGGCGAAAGCGCUCUACUGGACCAGAACUGACACUGAGGGACGAAAGCUAGGGGAGCGAAUGGGAUUAGAUACCCCAGU